GAAAGCUGCUGACCAGCAAGGUCACAGGCUCCCUCCUCUCUGCAAGUGUCUCAAGGCCAAAGACAGGCUGGUGGGAAAGCUCCAACCAGCAAGGCCAUAUGCUCCCCCUCCCCUACCUAAAACCCCAAAUAAAAACCCUUCCUUUUAGGUUUUUGGGGAGUUUGGGAUUUGAGCAUUAGCUGCCCUCUCUCCUUGCUCAGUGCUGUGCAAAAAUAAAAUUCCUACUUUCUUCCACCACACCCAGAGUCAUAGAUUGGCUUGCUGUGCAACGAGUGAGCGAACUCACUUCAGGUUUGGUAACAAUUUGGUGACCCAGAUGGGACAAUGUCUCAGGUGGACGUCUCACCUGGGGCACACCGGCCUCUGGCUAAAGGCCUCUCUUGGAAGCUGUCCUGCAGCUGCCUGAGCCCCUUGUCUCAGGGACAGCCCCAAGCGACUGGCUGCUAACCAGACGAUGUUGGCCCACGAUGCUUUUGCUUUGGUGGUGGAAGAAACUAGGUUUAGGACUCAGGAAGACGUCUCUUGUAAGUAGCUGGUAGUUUUUGUUUUUGUCUUUGUGUUAACCUUUUCCAACAGAACCUGCCGGAAAUAAUGGGUACCUUGGCAGCCCUCUGGGCUCCAUUUGUUUUGAAGUCGCCUGACGCCCUGGCCAAAUUUUGCCCCCUGGUACAUAGUUGUAUAUUCUUCGUUGUGGGUCCUUCUAGUUGUGGCUUGUGGGGCGCUGCCUCAGCAUGGUUUGAUGAGCAGUGCCAUGUCCAUGCCCAGGAUUCGAACCAACGAAACACUGGGCCGCCUGCAGCAGAGUGCGUGAACUUAACCACUCGGUCACGGGGCCAACCCCUCACGGAGUUUUUGUAGACGAUAUAAAUAUAAUUGCUAAGAACAGAAAAUCUUCUUAUUAAAUACCUUGUUACUUACUUACAUGAUACAGCCCUACCUUCAGGAGCCCACCAGCAUCACCGCCUUUUUAAAAGACUGGUUCAAUGAGAUAAAACAACCUACACCCCAUUUCAGCAGGAAGUAGCUAGAUCGGUCGCUGCCCCAAAUCCCUAAAGAUUGACGGAUGGACAUAAAAUAGGGGGAGUUGAUACCGACCCUGAUAUCAGUUUCCCCACAUUAAACCCAGCAUAUAUGGGGUUAAAACCAAAACACUCAUUCCCUGCUUACUCUCUGGCUUCCUGGCUCCAGAAUCCACUAUCCUCCAUGGAGACAGACACCAUCAAGGACAAGCACCUGGACUAGCUCCUCCCGCAAAGAGAUGCGGGCUGGUGGGAAAGCUGCUGACCAGCAAGGUCAUGAGCUCCCUCCUCUCUGCAAGUAGUCUCAAGGCCAAAGACAGGCUGGUGGGAAAGCUCCGACCAGCAAGGCCAUAUGCUCCCCCUCCCCUACCUAAAACCCCAAAUAAGAACCCUUCCUUUCAGCUUUUCGGGGAGUUUGAGAUUUGAGCAUUAGCUGCCCUCUCUCCUUGCUCAGCGUUGUGCAAAAAUAAAAUUCCU
rnacentral:lncRNA from 1 species